rnacentral:lncRNA from 1 species
UAUAUAUCCUUUGCAGCUGUUGAACACAAUCGGAGAGCGAAUCUUAGCGGAGGCACAACAUUGCACCCCAAAAGGCCCCAAUUAAUCCCAUAGCAGGCUAAACGCUUCUGUGCAAUUUUCCUCAAGUUGUAAAAUCACCUUUGCACUCGCCGCCAAUUUUAUUUUUGAUUCCUUGUUUCACUCAAUUCAAAACAUAGGCGAUAUUAGCAAUUCUACCAAAUUCACACAACUUAACACUUAAUUCGAAACAUGCUGAUAAAUUGAAGUUCUGGAGAUCUAAACGAGUAGUCCAAUUACCCAAUUCUCUAUGUGUCCAAACUCAAAUUAAUAGGAAAUUGAUAAUUUUGAUUCCAAUUCCAUGCCUAGAUUAUCUUAUUUAUUUAUUUAUCUACUCAUGAAUUCCUAAAUAUUGCCAAAUGUGAAAAUCCAAUUGGAAACAUGGAUCGAAUUUAAGCUUGAUUACGUGAUUUCACUUAACACUAUACACCAACAGGUUAAUGACCCAAAUUCAAAGCAAACCAACUAUUUGCAGAAUACUUAAAAUUAACAUCACCAAGCCAACACUCAACACUCAGGUAAUUCAUGAUUUUAGCCCUCAACUACUGAAAUUAACUACUAAAAAUAAGACCAUUGAAUAUGUUUUUCACAACUACUAAAGCAAACCAAACAUUCAACUCAUAACAUUAGUCUGAAUAGUAAUAGUAUAUAUAGUCCAGUCAGCACAACUACAAGCAAGGGUCUAAAAAGAAUAUUAAUGAUCUAAGUUCUUAAGUACACAUCAGAAACUGAAUCAAAUCAAAUCUCAUGCUUCAAUUAUAGAUUCAUCCUUUACAUUUCAGCUCACAAUUAUCAAAGUCAAGUUGUAAACAUGGAACUAGAGAUGAACGUCAGAGGAGAAGAGGGUCGACAGCAAAUAAUAGUGACUGGAAUCCAGCAAUCACAAACAACAACAACAACAACAACAACAGGAACAAUUUGAAAAUAAAACCAUUUCACAAAACCUAGGAACACAUCACAGAAAAAGAACACCCAAUAACUGAUCCAAAAUGACCCGAUUGAACCCCAAAAACCACUCAAAAUCAAACCAGAAACAACUAUAAAACUUCAGCUACCUGAAAUUGAACAAGGAAAAGCAAAUCAACCACUAAAACUUGAAAUUAACCUAAGAAGUUGAAUAGAAAUGUGUAUUUUUUGGUUUUUCUAUAGCUUUUGUAUAUUUGUUUUUUUUUGAGAUUUUAAGAUGGAAACGAGACUUUAAAAUUUUAGAUCUAGUGUUAAAUAUGAAAUUCAAAUUUGGCUUCUAGAAACUAUGGACUUUUUUGCGGGGAACUUUUGGAGAUUCUAAUUUCUUUUCUAAGGCCGAAUGUAUUGCCUAUUAUAGGCAAAGCUGAAAGGGAAAUUCAGAUAUUCCAUUUUAACACUACACCCCUUUCCCAAUUUCAUUUUUUCUAGUUAGCCCCUUAACUACUGACUUGCUAGCCAACCUAAGCUGCUUAGAAGCAUGAAAUCAUCCCAAACUCCCUACUAGAUGGUUCCCAUUUCAGUUACCAUAAAGAUUCCCUAAGUGUGUUGCCACAAUUAUCCUUCCAGCCACCUAGAAUUACAUAAUUCACCAAUUUAAGGGUCUGGGCCACACGACCCAAUUCAGCGGGUCAGAAAAAGACUCGAACGAAUUCACUAUUUCCUGUAGCCCAUUCCUCAAUUAAAAAUAAGGCCCAAAACCAAAACCAAGACAUUUGACCAUCAAGGAAUCAAUUCAGCCUUUAGUGGUGAGUAGUUAACAGAGACGACCCGACUAAACCAAGAAACAAAUGAAACUAAAUAACAAAUGUGGAAGAACAUGCGUAAAUCCAGUCAAGCAGCAAGAUAAUUAAGAAAAGGAAAAAUUAAACUAACUCCCUAAAUAAUCAAAGAGCAAUGAAAACUUGACUAUCCGAACCAAAGCAAAACCAAAAGAGAGCUCAAAACUCCAUAUCGCCACAUGCUUAAUCCAAACUGAUAAAAUUCAUAUGUUCUCAUAGAGAACAAACAAAUAAAAUAAUUUUUAGAUCGAGAAUAAAGUAGAAACUCAAGUUUUACUUUAGGGCCCGACUGUGAUUUGCGAUUCGACGACCAGGAAGAAGAUUCGUGGGUAACUGACUAUAGGUCAAGAAGAGAGUCUUGGGUUGACUAUGUGAUGUUAUUUUUGUUAUGUUUGGGGUGAGUGAAGUCUUUAACUGAACCUUCAUUUGAAGAUUCGAAAUGCUCUGGCCUGAUUUUGAGGCAAACAGAGUGUGGAUUUGGAAUGGGGGAAAAAGGGGUUCAGGGGUGAUUUGCGGUGGCGCAGUCAGAUUUCAGGUGGAGAGGAAAGAGGGCGGCGGAUAUUAGUGUUUAAUGGGAAAGGUCUCUGAAAGAGACGAAGAAAAGGGGGUCGGGUAAGGGUAAAUUGGGACAUUUAUGUAGUUAUCUUAAGCUAGUUUCGGACCGUUCGAUCUGCUGAGAUCAACGGUCCAAAUUGAAAAAUAUGAAACGGUGUCUUUUCUUAGUAAAAGGAUAGGCUGGGUUUGGGGUAUUUGAGCCGGAUCUGAUUGGAUAUGACUUAGUCCGAUUUAGUCUCAUUUGGAUUGAAUGGCCCAAGUUCAACCUUUU